UUAAGCAUAUAAUUAAGCGGAGGAAAAGAAACUAACAAGGACCCCCCUAGUAAGGGCGACUGAAGCGGGGUAAGCUCACCGUGUGAAUCUGUGCAACUCUGUCCCCCUCGGGGCGCGCAGAGUGCACCGAAUUGUGGUCUGAAGAGGUAGCGUCGGCGGUCGUUCCGGGCCAAGUCCCUUGGAAAAGGGCAGCUGAGAGGGUGAGACUCCCGUUCUUGCCUGGGUCGCGACUGCCUUAGCAUGCGCCUUCAACGAGUCGAGUUGCUUGGGAUUGCAGCUCAAAGUGGGUGGUAAAUUCCAUCUAAAGCUAAAUAUUGGUGGGAGACCGAUAGCGUACAAGUACCGUGAGGGAAAGAUGCAAAGAACUUUGAAAAGAGAGUUAAAGAGUACCUGAAAUUGCUGAAAGGGAAGCAAAGGAAACCAGUGUCGUGCGCGCUUAUAUUUCUCUUGCUGCUUGCGGCAAGGGCGCUGUGAGCGUGCGUGGGUCAGCAUGGGUUUGUCUUGGGUCAUAUGGUGGUGCGGGAGGUAGACCUUAACGGUCGAAUACCGCGCCUCUGCGUCCUGGGAUAGACCGAGGUCAGUCGCUUUUGCGCUCGUGAUGCUGACGAAAUGGUUUUCUUUACCCCGUCUUGAAACAC
rnacentral:rRNA from 1 species